rnacentral:rRNA from 1 species
UACGGGGGGGGCAAGCGUUGUUCGGAAUUACUGGGCGUAAAGGGCGCGUAGGCGGCCUGUUAAGUCGAACGUGAAAUCCCCGGGCUCAACCCGGGAACUGCGUCCGAUACUGGCAGGCUUGAAUCCGGGAGAGGGAUGUGGAAUUCCAGGUGUAGCGGUGAAAUGCGUAGAUAUCUGGAGGAACACCGGUGGCGAAGGCGGCAUCCUGGACCGGUAUUGACGCUGAGGCGCGAAAGCCAGGGGAGCAAACGGG